rnacentral:lncRNA from 1 species
UAUUUCUAAACAGCAUUGCAGCAAUGAAACAGGCACAUUAUUCCACUUCCAACUGCUGGGCAUGCGUGUCUCUGUUGUCUGUGGAGGGCAGCUGUAGCCGGGUCCUCUGGAUUUUGUUUCACAGAGACAUCAUGGACACAUUUCAUGCCUUUGAAGUUGAGCUUGAUCUUCUGACAACAAAGAGACUUUCAGCCUGAGAGCCACGACAGGGGAGUCCUAUCAUGGUGGAAGGGAAGGAGGCUGAGGUGAUGAUUGUAAAGUUCAACAAGGGCAUUGAUUUCUGGUACGCACCGUGCAACGUGAACAAGAAUCAUGAAAUUCACCUGAAGGCAGAGGCUCUGCUCGUGAGAGUGUCCGAUCAAGAGCUGCUUCCUGCCACCGACACUGAAGUGGAAAUCUCGAGUGCGAGCUUUUUAUACAUACUAAAGAGUCCGACUUGUUCCUCCACACAGCAGCCAAAGAUAAACAUGACCUUCACAUAA